rnacentral:rRNA from 1 species
GGCCACCACCCGGGGGGCAGGCUGCUUAUUUUUUUGCCUCACCACGGAAAAACUCCCCCGCGCCCCCACACAGGGAGGGUCGACAGACUGAGAGCUCUUUCUUACUUCGGUGGCGGGCGGGGCAUGGCCGCUCUUAGUUGAACGAUCUUUUUGUCUGGUUAAUUUCAAUAACGAAACACAGUCUGGUCUAUUAAAUAGAGUGUGUAUGUACAAUCGUAUCCCACUUCUCACAGCGCCAAGCUGUGUCUCGCCGCACAAAAUAAAAAAAUAACUGGGAUGCGUUUGACUUAUAGGGGCGGCGCUGGCGGCGCGCGAUAAACAAAGAAAGCGCUUGACCUAUUCCGGAACCGCCGGGAAAGCCGAGCAAACACAACCCUGAUUGGUGCUGCGGUAGAGGGAUUAGUUUCUAUUUUACGAUGAAUUACGAGUACCUGCGGGAUGUAGGGGCAUCGUCUAGUAUUGAUUGUCCAUUGCCCUUCUUUCCGCCCACCCUACCGAACGACUGACUGAAUGAGUUCU